rnacentral:misc_RNA from 1 species
AGAAAUACUCAUAAUCAAAUGCAGGAGUAUAGUAAACAAAAACAGGACUAAGAGAGGUUAAAGAGGCUAACAAAAGAAAAGGUUGGAUGUCCAAUAUACAAAGGACAGUACGGGUGGAAAUCUUUCUGUAUUACCUAAUCUUUGCUACUUUAGUUUGCUCUUAGUCCUUUGAAGUUAUGACAAGAAGCCCCAACGCUCCAAUGAGAAUAUACUUAAUAAUCGGCUUCUCGGUCAUAAUAAUAGUCACCCAGCCAACAUACGGUAAAAAUCCAACAGCUCUUCCCAUGAUAUGAUGCCGCUGAAGCCAAAGCUG